rnacentral:rRNA from 1 species
UACCAGCACCCCGAGUGGUCGGGACGAUUAUUGGGCCUAAAGCAUCCGUAGCCGGUUCUACAAGUCUUCCGUUAAAUCCACCUGCUUAACAGAUGGGCUGCGGAGGAUACUAUAGAGCUAGGAGGCGGGAGAGGCAAGCGGUACUUAGUGGGUAGGGGUAAAAUCCGUUGAUCCAUUGAAGACCACCAGUGGCGAAGGCGGCUUGCCAGAAUGCGCUCGACGGUGAGGGAUAAAAGCUGGGGGAGCAAACCGG